UACGUAGGGUGCUAGCGUUAAUCGGAAUCACUGGGCGUAAAGCGUGCGCAGGCGGCGUGUUAAGACAGGUGUGAAAGCCCCGAGCUUAACUUGGGAAUUGCGCUUGUGACUGGCGUGCUGGAGUGUGGCAGAGGGAGGUGGAAUUCCAAGUGUAGCAGUGAAAUGCGUAGAGAUGUGGAGGAACACCGAUGGCGAAGGCAGCCUCCUGGGCCAGCACUGACGCUCAUGCACGAAAGCGUGGGGAGCAAACAGG
rnacentral:rRNA from 1 species